UGGGGAAUAUUGCGCAAUGGGGGGAACCCUGACGCAGCCAUGCCGCGUGAAUGAAGAAGGCCUUAGGGUUGUAAAGUUCUUUCGGUAUUGAGGAAGGUUGAUGUGUUAAUAGCACAUCAAAUUGACGUUAAAUACAGAAGAAGCACCGGCUAACUCCGUGCCAGCAGCCGCGGCAAUACGGAGGGUGCGAGCGUUAAUCGGAAUAACUGGGCGUAAAGGGCACGCAGGCGGUUAUUUAAGUGAGGUGUGAAAGCCCCGGGCUUAACCUGGGAAUUGCAUUUCAGACUGGGUAACUAGAGUACUUUAGGGAGGGGUAGAAUUCCACGUGUAGCGGUGAAAUGCGUAGAGAUGUGGAGGGAUACCGAAGGCGAAGGCAGCCCCUUGGGAAUGUACUGACGCUCAUGUGCGAAAGCGUGGGGAGCAAACAGGAUUAGAUACCCUGGUAGUCCACGCUGUAAACGCUGUCGAUUUGGGGGUUGGGGUUUAACUUUGGCGCCCGUAGCUAACGUGAUAAAUCGACCGCCUGGGGAGUACGGCCGCAAGGUUA
rnacentral:rRNA from 1 species